AGGUGGAUGGCUCGAUGUCCCAGCUGAAUCCCUCACACACACUCGAGGCAAAAGCGUAACACUAGCAGGAGCACCCUCAGAGAAAAUAGGCUGAACACCUAAAACUGCCUCAAGCCCAGAAUCAACGCGACGGAAGAGGCUGGAUAAGAGGACACAGAAGUGCGGGAGUGAGAGUGAAUGGAGAACUUUCCUGAAGAUUGCUGCUAUUCUCCGGCUUAUUGCCUCCUGUCCUUCAUGGUUUCACAUGACGUCCCGGGUGUCAGGAUCGCCUUCAAGCUGGAAAUGAGGAAAGUGAUGAUACCAGUGGGCUGGGAUCAGAAAAGAGGAAAUUGGCUAAGCGACUACUUUCUGGGCAGACUCCUGUAACUGGCUAAUUAGCAAAGCUGGAAACGUCCCAUUACUCCCUUAACUGAGAUCUGUUUGUUGCAUUUGUAUGUGGAGAAGAAGCAUAAUUAUAUGCACACAUCACGUGCAGGUGCAAGACUAUUGUAAAGAGCAACUGGUGAGAGGAUCAACACCUGCACUCGGACGCCAUGCUACAAAUUUAAAUAGGCAUUUAAAUAGACUUUUUGAUAUCAGGUCUGCAUUCGUCUGUGUGUUUUGACCUUAAAAGAUUUAGUGAAAUGAGAAAAUGUAAAUAACUUGGGGGUGAAAUUCAUCUGCAGUUUUAUUUGCAUAUGUAUGCUUUUUUGUAAAGUCUGUUCUUUCUAAAAAAUGAAACCAGUGAAUGAACAGUAUCCCUCGAAGAGCCACGUGAGGUAAGCUGGAGUCACUCCCCCAGGUUACAGUGACUCUAUGGAUAAUUUUCCCAUCAAUAACAACUCAGCGGGUAAAUUAGGUCAAGCGUUUAAGUCGCAUUAGCAUUCAAAGCUACGCUUAACGAAGGGCUCGUCUACUUUAAGGGACAGGUGGGUCCAUUUUGUAUUGUUCAGCGUAUAUUUGUUCAGUUUGUCUUUUUUGUUUCAAGCUCAUUUUGUUAGCCAAAGUAACCAAAAUAUAGGUGCCCUUUGCUAGCCAAGCUAGCUAGUAAGUGCUAGCAUUAGCUUAUUACUGCUCCCAGUUUUACUUUUGCUCAGAUGUUUGAGAAGUUCAACAAAAAGCUGAACUGAAGAUUUAAAUUAAAGAUAAAUUCAAGGAAGUGGUGACUUUUUAUAGCUGACUUUGUUUAUGAUGUACCAUGAUAGUAGCUUAGCAUGUGCUUAUUUUGUCUGAAGAUAUUGCUUAAAGCAAAAAUGUUCUGCUAAAGCAAAAAUACAUGUU